CCUACGGGGGGCAGCAGUGGGGAAUAUUGCACAAUGGGGGAAACCCUGAUGCAGCGACGCCGCGUGAAGGAAGAAGUAUUUCGGUAUGUAAACUUCUAUCAGCAGGGAAGAAAAUGACGGUACCUGACUAAGAAGCCCCGGCUAACUACGUGCCAGCAGCCGCGGUAAUACGUAGGGGGCAAGCGUUAUCCGGAUUUACUGGGUGUAAAGGGAGCGUAGGCGGCGAUGCAAGUCAGAAGUGAAAGCCCGGGGCUCAACUCCGGGACUGCUUUUGAAACUGUGUUGCUAGAUUGCAGGAGAGGUAAGUGGAAUUCCUAGUGUAGCGGUGGAAUGCGUAGAUAUUAGGAGGAACACCAGUGGCGAAGGCGGAUUGCUAGACUGUAACUGACACUGGGGCACGAAAGCGUGGGGAGCAAACAGGAUUAGAUACCCCUGUAGUC
rnacentral:rRNA from 1 species